CACCUGGCUUGUCCCUGAUAGGACUUGAGUUGGCCUGUAGAAAUGCAUCCUGUACAUCCACAAAUGUAAGGGAAAUAAGGCAGGAAAAUAAGUUCGAGUGAGGACUCACUGCACAACAGGAUAUCAAAGGAGCAUUACAAAAUAUUGUCUAACAGAAGUACCAGGGCUGGAUCCCAAAGUUUUGUGUAGAUCUUGAUAAAGAGUUUGGAUUUUAUUCUAACAAGAGUGAAGAGCAUGACAAUGUUUGCAGAAGAGUGAUGGCUUCUUUCAGGCAACAGUGACAAUUACACCUCCUCUUUUUCUCUUUGAUCCUCCACCCUCUCCCUCCAGCACCUGGUACAAAGCUGGGUACCCAGCAGACACUCUGUAAAUUAAAGUGCUGCCAGCCUG
rnacentral:lncRNA from 10 species